GAUAUCACGAAGAACUCCGAUUGCGAAGGCAGCCUGCUAGGGUGCGACAGACGCUGAGGCACGAAAGCGUGGGUAUCGAACAGGAUUAGAUACCCUGGUAGUCCACGCAGUAAACGAUGAAUACUAACUGUUUGCGAUACAAUGUAAGCGGUACAGCGAAAGCGUUAAGUAUUCCACCUGGGGAGUACGCCGGCAACGGUGAAACUCAAAGGAAUUGACGGGGGCCCGCACAAGCGGAGGAACAUGUGGUUUAAUUCGAUGAUACGCGAGGAACCUUACCCGGGCUCAAACGCAGGGGGAAUAUAUAUGAAAGUAUAUAGCUAGCAAUAGUCACCUGCGAGGUGCUGCAUGGUUGUCGUCAGCUCGUGCCGUGAGGUGUCGGCUUAAGUGCCAUAACGAGCGCAACCCCUAUCGACAGUUACUAACGGGUCAAGCCGAGGACUCUGUCGAGACUGCCGGCGCAAGCCGCGAGGAAGGUGGGGAUGACGUCAAAUCAGCACGGCCCUUACGUCCGGGGCGACACACGUGUUACAAUGGCAGGUACAGAAGGCAGCCAGUCAGCAAUGACGCGCGAAUCCCGAAAACCUGUCUCAGUUCGGAUUGGAGUCUGCAACCCGACUCCAUGAAGCUGGAUUCGCUAGUAAUCGCGCAUCAGCCAUGGCGCGGUGAAUACGUUCCCGGGCCUUGUACACACCGCCCGUCAAGCCAUGGAAGCCGGGAGUACCUGAAGCAUGCAACCGCAAGGAGCGUACGAAGGUAAUACCGGUAACUGGGGCUAAGUCGUAACAAGGUAGCCGUACCGGAAGGUGCGGCUG
rnacentral:rRNA from 1 species